CAUGUCGAUCAUCAUAGCCCGAGCUGGAAAAUUUGCAUUUCAAAUAACAUGUCCGUGUUUAUAGUUAAUUUCAUGGAUCUCCACGUUUCUUUUAGUGCGUUUCGGUUCUAAACGUAGUUAUACUUACUAUGGCGGCUCAAAAUUCUGUCUGCGUGGGUGACCCUGCAGGAAAGGGAAAGCGCCAUCAAGAAGACGAGACAUCCCAUCAGCCGUGACUUUUUAAAAUGAAAAAGCGAACAUUAGGUCGGAAUGCCUUGAUAGCAAUUUUAUAGGCGCUGUUGUUAACUUGAUUGCCUUACGGCGGAGGAGGAAGAAAGAAAAAAAAGAGAAACAUCUUCAACAUGUAAAAAUUCCGGAUUGAUGCCCAUCUCGAAAUGGAAAGAUGUACAGGAAUUUUAUCAACUUUCUUUGUGUCCCAGUGACAUGGUUGACAAACAGUUUCGUUGUCAAGUGGGGAAAGCGCAGACUCCCCGAUACGGAUCGUGUGUGGUGAACUCCGUACAAGUUUGGAUCUUCUAGAAGCCGCAAGUGGCGAGUUCUUUGGGCUCGUCUCUUUCGCAACACGUUAACUGUGAAAUGAAACAAAGUUGUUUCUUUUCACAGACAUCUCGAGAACUUAAUAGCCCAAUAUAAAAAAAAAAGGGUCUUGGCUUACGUGUCCCUUUUGUCCUCUGGGCAAAACCCUUAGAUGCCAAAAAAAAAAAGGCACCUGACACGAGAUUGAGAUUUGAUUUAUGUCACUACGGGUGUGCUGAUGGAACUAUGCCCUAAAGCUUGAAAUUCGAAAUUGACUGUCAAUUACCGCGUAUUCUUCAAGGACAAAAGGCAUGAACAAUGAAGAUAACACGCACCCUACAUUAAAGCAAUGUGAAUCGGCCCGUGGGGAGCCAUGUCGUGACUAGACUUUUUCGGCCUACCAGACCCAGGAGGAAAGGAAAAAUCUGCCGGCCAGCCUUUGCUGGAAGACAUUUGCGAUUGAGGAACCCGACGUCGAUAAAUCUUUUCCCAGACGCCCAGCAGCGUAGAGAAGAAAGAGAAAGGGAAGGUCAACACUGUGUGUUGAUUUCACUUUCGCCCCAAUGCCCGACUCAGCGCUUCUUCCCGUCUAGCCAACCGAUUCACGCAACAAUUGCACGCAGCCGUUGAUACUACAAGGAAAUCAAGUAAUAAUUGCUUAACUUACCGGCAAGGGCUUGGCUAUCAUUUUGCUGGAUUUCUGGUAAGCCGCAAUAUGUGAGAUGAUUAAGAAUUUUUUUUUUUUUCAAAUCUAUCUUUAAAACAACAACGAAAGUUAAUAGACGUUAACUAAUACUUAAAUUUUAAAUGAAAUUGAUUUACCUUUUAGCUUUGAGCCGAGCUGUUGGACUAUGGCGGAGGUGCGGGAAGAUGUUUCAGGAGGAACCGUAUUCGAAAAACGCUCAGUAGGAGGUGUGCAGUGUAUGCGUCUAAAGGAUGCACCAUCCAACCAAUAACACGCCCGUAAGGUUGGCUGGUUUGCUGGUCGCGCGGGUCAGCUUUUUCGGAUUUCUCCGGUUGGGCUCUCUGUUGAGCCAGCGGCGAUAGAGACUCGAAGAAGAUCCAGCGUUUUCUAUACAGUAUCUCAUCUCCUCUCUCUCUUCGGAUAUUAUGUCUGCACCAACAAAUCCAAGGCCAACUGGGCUCUUCAACAAGAGACACAAAAUAACCACCAUGAAGUGGAAUAAGUCCAAAACGAUCACGUACGAGCCAAUCAAAUAAGUCAAUGUUUCGCCAUAUGCACGCACUAAUGGACUGAUAGACACAGAUUGGAAGCUCGUCUUGGCCUUUCGAAGAAAAUGGACUUUAUACCUGAUGCAGUUGUCACGACACCCCGUAAGGAAAAAAGCAAGAUCACAACAAAGUUAAACAAAUUCAAUGAUUCUCAAAGACUCGUGUCAUCUGCCAUUUUUUUUUUUUUUCUUUCUAGGUUUUGGUUUCGCUUGACAGACUUCCGCAUGUAGCAACCAUCGGUUUUCCCGUUCACAACGAAAAUCAUAAUCCAUAUAUCAUGUCAUAUUUUUUUUCCCCCCCUUUUGUCUUAUUUUUACUGGAAAAUUUUCAAAUCCUUGAGCUUUUUUUUUUUUUUCAGUUUCAGAUUGUCAAGUCAUAGUCUGCACCUGUACAGCGGUCCCGCAGAAAAAUAGAAUGGAAAUAUCCUUGCCAAAAAAUCUGAAGAAGAUUUCGCUGUACAGUAUACGAAACAUCUGCAAAAUAACGAUGCCUUUCACCAUAGCGAACACGACCCAUUGUGACGAUAGCAACGUAUAAUAUUGGGAAGAGAACGAAAAAACCUUGACCGGCAAUUCAUAACCCACGGAUCAAACGACAAUAAACAAGAGACCUGUUCAGUGCCGGACCAUAAAAAGAGGCGAUAUAAGAAAAAAGAAAAAGUAAAGAAGAAAACGUUGGCGGAGAAAACUCUUUGUAUAGUUCUACACCUAAUCGAUCAUGCGGGAAAGCUGCGCUUCCUUCAAAGGGGAAAAAGGAAUGAUACUGAAGAGAGUGACGCGCGCGGGUUUCCAUUUUCUGCCCAUAAAUUAAACAUAAAAAUAUGCAAUUUUGCAACAAGCAUUUUUAGGUCAUCGCUCUUCGACCUUAUUAUUGCACUUACGAGUGGGACGGGAAACGAGUAUGCUGAUAUCUUACAAACUGACAAUUCUAAUGGAAAAGCCAUUUUGAUGAAAUUGUUUCCUCUCAAUGAAAGGCGAAAAACAGCCGAGUCUUGUUGAAAGAAACAUGUGACCUUCUGCUACUUUGCGGUUGAAGAGGAUAAAAGAAAUAGGUAGCGAAACUUUCACCUUCUCUCGUUUAGUAAAAAAUAACUGGUUGCGUGACGAGUCAUCGGAAUUUUCGACAGUUAUUGCAAUCACACCGAUGCUACUUUGGUGAACAUCGUGGAAUUGUUGAGUUUGUGUAUGCCAUUUGUCAUCCGGACGAAAGCGGCAAACGCAGAAUAAUAUUUAAAUAUCACUUGUGCAAUAAAAAUUGUCUUAGUUUGGCUGGGAAAACCCUAAAGAGGGGGGAAGCGUGAAAUUUUUCCUUUCGAAAAUCUCUUGUGCCAUUUUCUUUGCCUUUCGAAAAGUAAUUUGAUGUUUGUUUAAUAAACAAAUGGCCACUCCUUUUAAAGGUGCAAACAAAAAACUAAAGUGUCAAUAUCUUUUUCUUUUACAUGUGCUGUAUGGAAUCAACACGACGACCUGAUAACGACGAGGUGGGGUAUCGAACAAUUCGUCAUCUGUCACGGAUCACGUGACCGUUUUAGCCAUCGAUCACCAUCCAUCUUGUCCCUCGCUAUUCCGAGGAAUUGAAAAUCGAGAUGAAGAGAUAACCCGAAAUCAAGUGAUUACCAGCACAAUUGCUUCAUUUCAAUCUUUCACCUGUGUGAAUUGAUAGAAAUGACAUUGUCACUUGGAGCCGGAAAGAACUCCAAAUGUGAAAACACUUGUCGACUGUAUAAGAACAAGUCGUGAAAUCGAAAAUAUUUACUUGGCAAAAAUGUGUGAGGCUAUUUUAUGUUCCGAUUGGCGAGAAAAUCUUUUCAUUGUUUGGUUUAACACCACACACACAAUUGGAAAAGAGGUUUAUUCUUUUAGAAAGUUCGGUAGGUGUUCCAGGUGACCAGUUGACGAGUCACGAAGUAAAAAAUGUUAUUAGCUCUGUCUCGCCCACAGUGCCUCCCCCCAGGUCACAUUAGAACAAGAAUGGAGCCACCACACAGUGAGAAUCAUCACUUUCGUAAUAAUGAUGUAUGAACGAGGAUGUUCAGCUACGUCUUGUUGCUGUGCUCAUAGCCAUUCUUCUAGAAUUCCUACCCCUUUUGCUCUCAAGGUAUGGAGUGCUUUGGGUAGGGAAUAAACACAACAUCAAUUCAUCAUAGGGAUCCCUCUUUUUUAUGGUUUUGUUUGGGCGUCGUUGGUUUUUGCUGCCACAACACGCGCUGGCGUGUUGUUUUUCUUUCUGGUAUCACCUGCGUGAUGGAUUCGUUUAUCUGGAAUCUGUUGCCAUCCCUUUUUGGUUGGUCCUCUACUCCACCUAUUAAUUUAACUUGUCGAGUUGGAUGUCGUUCUAGUUCAUCCUUCGUGUGCGAUCUCUACGCAGACAUUUGGACGUUUGCCAGUAGAUAACUAAAGAGACAGUCUAUCUUAUAUUCCCCCUUCGUCAUAAAUGCAUCAAUCGCGUCCGAAAAACUUUGAAUGGGGACAACGUUUUCCGCUUUCACUCUUUCUCUUUUAAAUUUAUUUAUAUCUUUUUCUUUUUUUGCCGAGGGAUAAACAAAGGAAUUCGUUUUCUAAGGCUCCCUUUUUUCUGCCAGCUCAUUGCUGUUUCCAGGGAAUCUUUUCGCUAAUCAGCUGCAAGCUAUAGUGCGUAAUAUACAGUCUCCUUUUUAUUCUUUUGCCGUUGGCAGUAGAGUUCUCUUCGAGGUCGGCCAAUACGUGUGACGUAAUGUUCUCUCAGUCUAGCACAAAGAGUUACCGCUGGCGCACACCUUAAAUUCCCCUAUUCGGCGUGCCAGGUGCUUAUCAGUUCUGAUAAAGAAGUAAAAGGGAAAUUACUUUUUUGCAACAGUGAAUUUUUUUUUUUCACUAUUCAAAGUGUGUGUGCCAUAUAAGCCCACCAUCUAUUGGCCGUCUAUUCAACCUGAUGGUCGAAACGUGGUAUUCCCAAAUCCUUCGUGGAAAGGUGGAAGAAACCAAAACAAACAAGUGAAUAACGCAAAACUUAAUGUGAAAAGUUUUGAGUUUUGGACGCGUCCCACGCAAACCGAGCCUGUCAGCGUGAUUAUUUCCUUUUCUUCCUGUGUUACGCUAAAUUGCACCGUUUCUAAGUGAAGCUCGUCUACCUUUCGGCCCUUUAGUGCUCGCCGUGGUGAAGAUGUCAACAACGUAUCGGUAAGUGGUUAAAUAUCUCUAUGCAAAUAGUUUUUUUUUAAAAAUGAGAUUCGUUACGUAAUUAGUUUUAGCUUUUGGCCUGUAGUGCAAUAGCUGUGGGACUGUGAAUUUAAUUCGUAAUCAAAGUGGAAAGUAACAAACGUGAAAAUUGCAUGUAUUUUAAAUUAAAAGUCUUUCAGGAUCAGAAGGUUUUGGUAAGUUGCUAUCGUCACUUACACUCGGAAGCAGAACUGUGCGAUCAUCACGUCAGAAAGACUUGUCUAGUCGGGGGUCCGAACGCACGACUUUCACGAUGGUAGUCGUACGCGAUAACCACAUGACCAACCCAACACGAUAGAAAGUUCUUUCUACACUUAGUGUAUAGUUGCUCCGCUUGGGGGAGCAGCCGUUUCUAUAGGACUUUGUUUUUGUUUUUUUCAUAUCAUUAAAAGAUCCAAUUGGAAUUGAUCCAAUAAUCCUAUUGCCAUAAAAAUAGAACUUGGAAACGUAUAUUUUGGCGACCGACAUCAUUUGUGGCUAUUUACAAGUAUUUUCGAAACAAAAACGGUGGGGAACACAAAUCGAUUAUAUCACACAAGAAACGCAUCGUCCAAAUCAGCAGAGAUCGAAAAAACGUUCAUAACUUUUGUAAACGACGAUGUGUUGAUCAAAUUGGCACAUAUGCGAGUACACCCUUUUUUUUGUGUGUGUGUGUCUCUUUUUUUUACAAUAACAACGUAAACAUUUAACAACCACAAAUGAAAACGACAAUGCGACUAGACGUCGUGAAGAAUGUCUGAAACACAUUUGAAACACCAUCAUCAUUCUGAGCAUUGGUUUCUUUCCUCUCUCCAUUUGUUUUUGUUUUUCUUUCAUUGUUACAACAGUUUGGUGGCAAUCCAAGGCAACUGUCCAUGACGGAAAUAGUGCCAAGAAUCGUAGGCCAAUUUGAGUCCGAGAACAGCAAUGGCUGCGACUUCCACGUAAAUGAUUGAAUGGAGGAUCGAUAUGUUGCGUUCGUUCAUUUCGGCUUCCGACGUGGCGUUUCUCAGGUAGUUUGGAUCGUCACACACUUGAUUAGGCAACAAGUGUAACACUGGAAUCUGUACGUAUCCGAAAGUAGUUUUUUAUUAUUAUGGCCUUGUUUUCUGAUUAGACUUUUUCAUUUUAUUUUGUGGGCUUACCUUUUUACCGUCUCGCGAACAAAGUAGUUGAGACGAAUCGUUGACGACGUGGCGGUAUUUCCAUAGCCAAUCCUUAAUUUUACAACACAACGAAUUUAAAAGAUUAGACGGACGAUUAGCAAUUGCGUAAAUGUUUAAUUGCUUAAACCGACCCGAACUCUUGUGGCCGUGUUGCAAUCGCAUUCCCACGAGUUGUUGUACAGAUAAAUGUACUUGAACUGGAACUCGAAUGGAACUUGCACAAUAUCAUCCAGCGGAAUCUGAAUGGAAGAGCGAUGGGCGUUUAGAGUGUUGAAAAUCAAGUUUUUAAAAGACUAACGUACCUCGCUGGGUGUGAUGAAGUUGUGCCGCAAACUGAAUCGGCUAAAAUUGCGCAUGAAAUCCGAUCCGGAUAAAUUGCGGAUCGAUUCGAUUCUGUUGGAAUCAGCGAUGAGAACCUUGAGCGGUGGAUUGCCGUAUUUAAUCACCUGAUCUAAACUCGUCAACUGCCUUAGUAAAAACAAUCCAAUUAAAUUUGUAUUAUUUUUUCCCCGCCGCAAUUCAAAUUCGUACGUUGUUCCCGCUGACGUCAAGUUCGUUGGUAAAAUUUGGGAGCUCUGCAGGUAGUGACGUCAUCUGUCUAUUCGAACAAUCGACCUGCACCGUGUAAGAUCCUCUGCCUCCUAUGCCCGCGCUGACGAAUUCGCAAUAACAACCCGAUGUCCGGCUACGACAUUCUGCUGCCACAGUCUGCGUAUCGUUCAACAAUGUUUACGUUUUUAUGUUUUCAAAUUCAGACGGUGGGGACAAAAAACAAACAAAAGUGUACCACAAAAACUAUUUUAUGUUGGCUGACACUCAACCGUGAUCCGUCUUGCCCAGUUAUGCAGGACAGAUGUCAGUUGGUGACGGCCUGGAUGAAGUCCUUUUUUUUUUACCUUUUUGUUCUUUUCUCUUUUGAUGAUUGAGUAGCUUAAGUCGAUCCAAGAUUCUUUGUGCUGCGCGUCAUGACACGUCAAGCUAUCGCCGUUGAGUAGCACGCCCUGUUCGUGCAAGGUCAGUACCCACUGGAAAUUACCCUGGCAGUCCCAUUCGUUACCUGGCGACAUUCGACGUGAAAAGUGGAUCUAUUAUUCUUUUUUUUUUAAUGUAUCGAUCGAUUACACGUAGCCCAGAGACCGACUACUCGGCCAUUUGAACGUUAAUGAUCGUAUCGAUCUCCUUGUUCUCUAGCUUUGCGAUGAUGCCAAACUGACCUGAAAGUUCCAGGGUAGACAAACGACUGUUCCCGUUCAUCAUUGAUAUCACGUCAGGGAUGCGGUCCAGUUUGUUGUUGGCUAAAAUCAAUAUUUCCAGCUGGACCGACUGCUUGAAGACAUUCCACGCGAUAAAAUCGAGACGUGAAUUGUUGGAGAAAUCCAAUUCGAUCAAUUGCUGCGGAACUGGCCAUUGUUCUGCCUGUUCUAAAUGGCUGUUGCGUAUGGAUAACUUUCGCAGGGCUGGAUAUUCGCCUUCAAAGAGUCCCGAUUCUUUCAUCGUUUUAAACCGACCCUCGACGAUAUUAAGGCUCACAAUGGACGCAGAACAAUCGGCCAGAUAGUCGCGUGUGAAAUGUGACACUUUGUGGCAGGUCAAGUUGCCCAUCUGAAGAUCGCAUCCAUUUCUACAGCAAAGGCACGCUCGCUGCUGAUUGAACUGAAAAGGCCUUGCAGCUUUAUUCCAGCUGUCACCGCUAGAAUUGUUGAUGCCGAUGACAUUGACGAACGCGGAAUGGCUGACUGAAGUCGUAGUAGAUAGGUCUGGAUAUAUCCGCCGCUCGCUCUGGCACGUUGCGUUUACAAACACGAGCACUAGCCAUACAAUCCGAAUGGUAAAAAACUCGCCAUCCGACCUCGCCAUGCUCUGUGACUAACGGUAUCUCUUCGUCCUAGAAAAACCAGAAAUUAAAUGAAACAUAUAUUUUUAUUUUCACGAUUUUCCAUGUUUCAUGUUGAACGCGAAAUUGAAUAUUUUGGUAUCGACGAAUAACGGCGCUGGAUGUUAAACGAACCGCGUGGGGAAAACCAGGUUUCAAUUUUUAAUAUGUCCUUUUUUUUUCCCCCCCGAUUCUUAUUGAUUCAGAAAAGACAUCAAACAGUCACACCCAUGUAUGGCAAGUUGGCGUAUACAAAAUCGAUACAGUCUGUGCCAGAUGUUUGGCCGUCGGCCUACAUCUGCUGUGCAGUCUAAUACAUGGGGGCUUUCUUGUCGACACAAUAAAAAGGUAUAUAGCCAAAAUGGUAUAGCGAACAAGGACAACCUUUUGUCACACUUAGCCGCGGCUGUCUGUCCGUUCCCGUCCGUUAACGAUUUGUUAUUAGAUAACAAAUGAGCUUCUUCCUCUCGUUACACAACCAUCCGCGAAACAUGUGGUCGAUUAACCCACCAGUGGUUUCGUGGAGAACGAAUGUCGACACUUGUUCAAUUAGAAGUAAAAAAAUAAUAAUAUGAACAAACUCGGCCGGAAAUGCAAUAUAACUUUAGCCGUUAUACCCAAAAAAGGAUUUCGAGGCAUAGAUUUUAACGAGCAGAACUUCCCUUGCGCGUUGGAAUGCAUCGUAAACCUUAUGGGUAUUUUUCCUGCUUUCUUAUUGCGUAUAUACAAAUCCCGUCGCACCUAUUCCGGCGCUGUCUGUUGCCGAUCGGAACGCAUCCAGUAUUUUCCCAUUCGUAUGCUAAACAGUCGGCAGUUAGAAACUUAUGACUAAAUAUAAAUCAGCUGCUCAGAUGGGUUCCAUAUUCCUCUACAGUUUUUUUUUUUUAAAAGGCACUGGCCGCGUUUCCGGAAAAGGUAUAACUUCCAUUUGUCUGGGGGUCUUGGGUUCUUUCCAUUAAACCCCCCUGUUCGGGCACAAGGUUCGAGAAAAUAAGAGGCUUUACGCUGUGAAACGUGACUGGACUAGUUUAUAUCUGUGAGCCCCGGCAUGCCUGUCGAAUAAAUGAACCGUUUGCGACCUUCGAACUCAAUUUCCGACAUUCAUAGAAGAGCCAAGGCUGCGAGACUUUGAUCUUCUCAUUAAAUAAGAAAAUCCUUCUUGAUUAACAAAAUUGACCAUUUCAGCCAAAUGUUAUUUCCCCCCUUUUUGGUUUAAUGCUGUCCAUUUUGUUUUGUCUUUUCCUGUGCCUGCAACGAAUUCCAGGUUGCGCUCUUUCCAGCUGGCGUCCGUCCAUAAAUGGGUCAAGGGUGGCUGUCAUAAUAACACAGACUGUUGUACGAGCAAUGUCACUCACAAACGGGAUCUUUUCCCCCAUCUGUUUUCCUUCUUUUGUUUCGUUUUCCAGACUUCUUGACAUGUUUCGCCAUCUAUACAGUGUUGGUGUGUUUCUGGACAAGUUUUCUUUUGACCAUUCGUUAGAGUCCGGUUCCGCAUGGAAAGCUGUCUGGUAUUGUUUACAGUCACGGCCUUGUGGUUAUCAUAACGUAACACUCAUCGUCGACACAUUUUUGUGUGUGGCACGGUGGCAUCGUGAAGGAUGGCGCUAAAUUUACGAUUACGUCAAGCUUAUGACGUUAUAUAAUCCCGAAUAGAUUAGCCUUGCAUUAUAGUAUACUGUACAUAUAUUUAGAUUUAUUAUCUUUAAAUGCGUAUCAAUGACGUAAUUGCUUCAAACAUGGGUUUUUGGAAGUUGACAACAAAGGACUCGGUACGACAGGUCGCAUUCAAGGACUUAACCGUCUGUCGGUGUAUACUUGCGUGUGGCCUAUACGACGUCUUUGGGCUGUGUAAAUAUAGACGAUGGAACGCUUUCCGGGAGAGAAUGGCAUCAAUAAUGUCAAGAAUUUCCAAUCUCAUUGCCCUUGAAAAAGCAACGCCCUCCCGCCUCCCAGAUUGACACGUCGCCUUGUUUCUUGCUGACGGACAGUUUGGCUAUUUUUAUUUCGAAAAUGUACGCUCAACUUCUCUAAUCGCAAACUGUGCUUCUUUUGUGCUAUUGUCCGUGUAGUGAAAGUUGAAUUGAGAGAGCCCGAAACAAAUGAGAAACACCGUUGGGGACGAAUAGAUAAGAGGGAGGUCUCACGCGGAGAAAAGCCAGCCAACUUGAUAAACAAUCGCGUUCAACGCAGCGCUGUUGAUUAGACAGCACGUCCUAUUUGACGUGUGACUGUCAUAAACAAGAAAAUGACUUACUGCGUUACACAUUUCUCGAUUGAAAACAUAACGAGCGUCGACAAUUGAGAUGCACAGAAAGGAGUAAUCAUAUACCUAGUGAUGGCACAAAAGAUAACAGACGGGCAAUUUUCAGGAAGUAUCCCUUUGAUGAGAAACCGACACAUCGGCGUCGCACGUUACACUGAAAAAAACCAAUGUCACUUAAAAUAAUAACGACUUUUUUUUUUUCUGAUCAGAGUACGAAUGGGUGACGUUAUUUGUGGUUAAGGCCGCACUUACGCGGAUGUGUGUUUAACCGCAACAAGAACGAGAUCAUGUGUGUGAUUGCGAGAGAUAAGCUCUCUCGGCGACACAGCAAGCUGUUUCCAACGAGUAAAUGCACUGUGAGAAACAUUGUCGGUACUAAACGGAAUAUAUAUAUAUGCCAGACACUAUACCACUCCCGGUGUGCGUGUGUGCGUGCUCCGGCGCAUGAGCAGUAGUGAGCAGAGCUCCUAUAGUCUCUGGCCAGAACCUUUACAGUCCCAAAUGGGCUAGGCGAGAAGCCUCCGCCGCUAGGUAAAAUAAAUAAAUAAAUUUUAAAAGCAAAAACUUUAUGCCUGCGGCUUUUAAUUCUUUUCGGGUUAUGAUUUUCGGUAUAGAAAAUCCGUAAGAUGAAACAGCAACUUUAUUUAUGAACUUGGCUUUGCCGUGCUUUUGUUUGGGGCCAUGUAUUCGCUAAUGCCACAUACUUUGUCUUUGUUUAUCUUUGACGCAACCUGCAGCCGACACCAACUGUCAAUAUCGAUCGAUUAUUAAUAGGAUUUCUUAUCGCUGUUUGAGUUGAACAGAUAUACCUUUCACUCGCCCAUUUGUAUUUGUCUUAGUGACGAGGUGAUUCACCUUGAACUAUCGCGCACGGCCAUAAAAUCCGAUUUCCGCACGCCAGCUCUGAUUUGCAUAAACAUUGUUAACGAUGCGCAAACUCGUGACUGGUUGGUGAAAAUGCGUGAAAUUCCCGUCUACGUCUACACCAACUAAAAAUAGUGCCGCACGAACGGCAACCUUGUCUACUGCAGCAUAUACACAUUAGAUAGAACUCUAGCACCUCUCUCGAAUCUAAAGAAUAAACAAUCAAACAAUGCGAGCAUUUUCGUGACGUGGCACAUUUUUUCCUUUUUUUUUUUUUCAUUUUCCUACGUUUUCUCAGGGUCGGCCUGACCGGAGCCACCGUAUAAACACGCGAUUUUAUGUUUAGUCUUCUUUUUUUUUUGUGUGUACUCGGCGUGCGCGUUUCAAACCGCAGCAGCUCUCGACUCAGAAAGCAAAACUUCAGGUUAUUCCUGUUCGUUCCCUCCCUUCCCCGAGGAUCAAUUGAAUUCGUUGUAUAAGAUUUCAUUAAGAUGACGGAAUGAUGUAGGCAAUAUUUUCUCUAUAGAAAUGGGCACAGAGAGGCUUCCAAACCGGUUUCACCUUGACUCGUCUGGUCCUUUUGAAACAUAAAAGAAAAGAAAACCAAAAAAUGGUCGAAAGAUUGUAAUGAUGUUUUUAUUUGAUGCUUUUCAUUGGCCAUGUUUGGUGUGUGUGUGUGUGUGUAUAUAUUUACAGUAUCAAAGAGUUUUUUUUUUAAAUCAAAUAAAUCGUAUUCCGGAUCGUUCUUCCAGUGGAAGAAACCGGAUUGCUGUUUUCUAAAAAAAAAAAAAUAAUAAGAGGAAAGAAAAGGGAAGCAAUGGAGGACGGGCGACAGCAUCAAACUUAUUAAAAAAAAAGGGGGUGGAUUGAUUUCUAGUUUUUUUUUUUUCAGUAUCUUCCUGGAAAGUCUGGCCGAGUAGGUAAAUAACAAAACUUCCAAAUUAGAAAAAAAAAGAAAAGAAAAAGAGAAUACUUUUGAUAUUUACACAAAUGACAGUGGCAUAUACGACACAAAAUGGUGGAAAUAGCAAAAAGCCAGAACUUAAAAGAAACAUGUGGCUGGACGAGUAGUUUUUUUGUUUUUGUUUUUUUCUUUUCUUAAAUGUAGAAAAAAAAAAGGUUUAAAUUUGUCGACAACGCACAGGAGAGCCCCAGUUGCAAAUAGCUCCAACCGGAUCGAAAGAAAGACGUGGUGGACAGGUGUGCACCCAUCCGCUAAUUGGUUCGGUUUCUCCUCGGCCAGGACCUCGUGCGCAGUGAACGAAUUUCGCGCAAUUUUCCGGAUAGGCAAAAUUGCCAACGUCGUAACAAAAGACGCGUCCGUCUUCGUCGAUUUCUACUACGUUACCAUUCACGCUUUGGCCUACGGGAACUCCUUGCUGGAACACUUCUGCAUCACCUGUAAUAUCAUCUUGAUUGACGGUCGGUCGGCUGACAUUCAAAAGUGCAGCGGGUCGGGGCGAAACGGGAGACACUGGACGUCUGGAAAAUUCUUCACCAAGAGGUCGAUUGAUUGGUGCUGGAAUGGCGAUGACGAUCGGAGCACGUGGUGUGGGCGUGGUCGUAAUAAUAACCGCAGUCCUGGUCGUCACUGGUGUCCUGACGGUCGUCGAUUGUCCCCUGGAAUUGAGCGGCCGGCGUCGUGAAACUACUCUCCGUUGGGUGGUUGUUGUGGGUUUCUCUGUGGUUGUUGUCGUUGUUGUUGUUGUAGUGGUCGUCGUCGUUGCGUCGGAUAAAGCGAAAGGAGAUUCGGUGUCAACGUAAUCGAGCGCUAAUUCUUCGUCGAAGGCAAAGAUGUCCGCAGGGUCCGCGUCCGCUGGAUGGUCGAAGAUGCUGGACGCCGUGGUGCUGCUACUCGUCCCUAUUUAAGUACAUUCCAAUGAUUUUUCAAUUAGAUAAUAAAUACUAAGAAAAUGAGAUUUCAAGAGUCUUUUCGUGCGGGGUCAGUCGAGUCGUUUUUGCUCACCACCUGAGUUUGGUCAUGACCGUCCGAUCGUAAAGACCAGUCGACUGCCGGCAGUCGAGUCAUUUGAAAAUUGUGAAACUGUUGAUCAAAAUACUGUUCCAACGAAGUAGUUGGAUCGCUGUUGCGUCCAGCCUCUGGAACAACGUCCGGCGUUACAACAGGCACGUCCGGAAUGACAUCAGGCACGUCCGGAAUAAACGUCUGUUCUUCCUCAGCGGCCGGAUAGUCGUAGGACGGGCUAUUAUUACUACCGUCUGAUGAUGGAUAAUCCACAGAUGGAUCGUCAACGGAUGUUUCCUCUACAGUGGACGUGAAUCGUCGGUUGGGAAUGUCGUUUACGUCGUCGGUCAAUUUCGACCCGACCAGCAAAUGGCCCGACAUGGCCACUUGCAUCACGUCAUUGUCCGUCAUUGACAAAUGGUCGGGAUGGGCAGAAUCGGACACGGUCGUCCUGUACGUCGAUCGUCGCCACACUGUGUCAAGUGGUAGGUAGUCACAACGUCACAAGACAGUCGUUUAUACUAAACUACUUUGAUAACAUCGUUUUAGGACCUCAUUUUUACCUUGCGGUUGAGCUGUGGGGGACGCCUCUUCAGUGAGGAUGACGAUGGUCGGACGGGCACGUUCUGUCGUCGUUUCCACUUCUUUUACCUCUUCAAUUCUAUCAGGUAAGACACACAGAAUUUCAUUUAUUUUUCCUAGCCUUUAUUACGACCCGUAAAGCCCCCACCCCCAACUUUUUGGUUUAAGAAUUUACGGUUGUUUUUUUUACACGUACUUUAUGGUCUGAUUGCCUGGCCGUCUCCUUUGCAAAGUCGAAUAUUGCGGGGAAUUGGGUCUGGCCUUUCGAGUGGAAGUUUCUUGCACCGUCUCGCUUUGUUCGCUGUUUUGUUUUGUUUUUCAAAACAAUAGAACCAUUCAUCAGCAAUUGGCGGGAUUCGUUUUUAAAACACAAAAAGGAAGAAGCCUCGAGCGUGUGAAGAUAAUCAACCGAUUCUCUUUUUCACGCGGCAUUUGUUUUUUUUUUUUUGUUUAGUUAAUGGUGCGAAAAAAAACUUACCGCGUUGAAGACGGGCGGAUAACCCUUUCAAGAGCUUGGCGUUGAGCCGAGCUAAGACUGAUGGAUUGGCCGUCCUCUUUCCGGCCGCGUCCCGACCCCGUAUUCUUUUCUAGCAACUGUUUCACAGCAUCAACGCCACCUGUGACCACACAUUAGAAACCGUUAAAAUUUUUUCUUCCUUUCCCCUCAUUAUUAUUAUUUAUAUUUGCAUAAUAAUAGCGCGUUAAAAGCGUUCACGUGAAUACCUAAAUCGGUAAUGAGCUGCAGAAGCUGUUGCAGCUCGUCGGGUGUGGUCUCCGCGUUUUUGGAUAAUGGCUGCGGUUGAAUUUCGUCGACGUAAUCGAGCGGUUCGGGUUCGGCAGUUGUUGUUGUGGUAGUUGUUGGCCGUCUGGUCGUUGUCGGUCGGGCCGUCGUCGUCGUCGAUAGCGCUAAAAACGGUUUGACGGUGGUGGUCGUUGGGGCGCUAGUUCCCGUUUUGCAGAUGACGUUCGUGGCGUAAUCGCAAGAGUCGGUGAACUUGUUGAAAUGCAAACCUACAUAACGUGACACGACUCUUUUUUUUAAAUAACAGCUGGAAUUGAGUUGGAAAAAACAAACGGGAAUAACUCACCUGCUGGACAGGUGAAGAUGUGGGAUACCAUACCAGCGGCCGUGUCUAAACACCAGAAGUAUUUCUUACAAUCUUUGGCGUUCGGGUAGAAACCUUCUUCCUUGCACUCGAAAUCGACGAUCGAUUCGGGGGUGGUCGGUGGUUCGGGAGUGGUGAAUGGAUUGAAAUCCGCUUGAUUGGCAACCUGAGUUGUCCUUCUAGUUGUAGUGGACGGGCCUCUUGUUCUAUCGCUGUUGGAAGUCGGUCGUCUCAACGACGACGGUCGAAUUAAAGCGCUGAAAACGCAAUUGAUUUAGACCAACAAAUCAAUCUUUUUCUCAAAUUCAAAAUUGAACUUACAUUGUACUCGAUGUGCUAGCGUCUGAAUUGCGGUCUUCGAUGGCGUUGAUCGGACUGAUGGGAGGUAAAGUCUGGCCGUACAGAGCGGCUUUGGCAGCCUCGAUCAAUGGAUACUUUCGCCCAGUGCACUGGCCUCGGAAGUCAUCGUUAUCGAUCGACCAGAACAUGAUACCGCCCAGGUCAUUGUCUACCACAUAUUGCGCCUGUAGAUGACGUCACAUUGAGGCAAGUCCAGCCGACCGUGAAAGAACGUGAAAUGUUACCUUUUUAGCCGCCAUUUCCUCGUCGUCGUAACCGACCCAUUCGAGCGCGUUGUGAGCGAAAGGUCCAACGGCUUCCGGGUCGGGUUUCUCGACUGCCCAAUUUUCAACUCCGAUUUUCUCGCAGAUUUCGUAGUAGGCUAAAUAACCUUUCUCUCUCGUAGCUUUGCCCGCUUCGGCUGGCCCGUCUGCCGGACUGCCGAGCUCCGUCAUAUCGGGAUUGACCAAUCGGAACGAUCUGCCGUAGGUCGGAAUGCCCAGCACCAGUUUAUCAGCCGAUGCUCCGUUGAGCAGGUAAAUCUGAACGGUGGAGUCCUGAAUUGUUUUCGUGACGAAAGACAUUAGCUUUGCUUAUUAAGGAUGACACAAAAGCAAUUCUUACGAUGUUGAGCUCUUCAUUGGGGUCAAAGACGUCCUCGAAAUUGCUGCGGGCUCGCAGCGGGGCGUGGUGAUUGACCUGGGGUUCAGUGGCGACGUGAUAAUCGUAGCUCAAAAUGUUGAUGAAAUCCAGAUCUCUAAUUAAGCAAAUGAAACCUUUGCCCUUCUUCUUUUGCCAUUUAAAAACAAAAAAUAGAAACGUUACCUGUUGAGCGAACGAAUGUCGAAACCCAAUUCGAUCGUGUCCACACCGGCCGGGACGGCCAUGGUCAACAAAAGCCUUUCUCGAUUGCCUUUUUCGUUGUUAAAACCGUCUCUCAAUUCCUGUUUUUUUUUUUUUUUAAUUUCCAAAGCACAUUGAUUAAAAUAUGCUAAUCGAGUAGACCCUUGGAAUUUUGUUUCGUUCUGAAUUGCGACACAUGGGUGGGGUUGUUACCUUGACAAGUUGGGCGUAAUUCUCCCUGUCUGCAGGUUUGCUACCUUCGCGAGAUGCCGGAUAUUCCCAGUCGAGAUCAAGGCCGUCGAAUUGAUGUUGACGCAGGUACUUGAUAGCUGAUCUGACUAAAUUCUGACGCGUCUCAGGAUCAGCCACCAGUUUGGAGAAACGAGCAGACCCUUCGUUCCAGCCACCGAUGGCCAGCAAAGUCCUCAAGUUCUUGUUGUGGGCCUUGAGACCGUUGAAUUUGGCGUAACCCCCUGUUCACAUUAUUAAGAGAUGGGGGGGUGUGUGAACAAACCUUGAUCGAUGUCUUGCCAUUUGUCGAAAGGUCUCAGGGUGAAAUCGUUGGUGAAACCACCGAAAGCGUAGAUCAGAUGAGUGCACAGGUAAGGGUUGAUAUUUUGAGGCAGGAAUUUCGCCUGUCCAGGACGAUAAGCCGACCAAUUAGCGUAGUAACAAACGACGCGCUUAUUGUUCUUGGAAACGGGGCUGAUGGCCUUGGCCGUUGGUCUUUGCGCCAUCACGGAAGACCAUACUAAUCCAUUAUAAAAAAACAAGCAGACAUUGUUUGAAAAAUCAAUUUUUAAAACUAAAAAUUUCAAAUUAAAAUUUCAUUACUUGUUAUGAGGCAGAUGACGGGGAUAAUCCAACGAAUGUUCGCCAUGUUUCUGUUUUCUGCACGUCACGCGGAACUGCGGUAUCACCCAGAAACACUUGUGCACCUGACAGACGAUCAAGCCACACUGAGAAACUAGCGGACGGUAGCAAAAGCCCCACCUCUGUAAAAAAAAGAGACGCCAGGAAAAAGAGAGAGAGAAGAGAAAUAAGGAUCGAGGUCAAUGGGCCAACAAUUGCAGCACAGGUACAACUUAGAGACACACACCAACAACUUGAUGACGACUUUGAUUGCUAUACGCUAGAUACUCCUAUAGGGUAUUAGCUAAUUUAUUAUUAUUUCCCUACCUAAAUGAACGUUCUUUUCUUGUUAACUCGUCCGUGAAAACAAAAAACACGACAAUGAUUGGAUAACAGACGGUGCGUUAAACCGCAACAAGGCCUAACGAACUCUUACACAACGCGCAUAUAACAUAUGCGCGUAUCUAUGCAAUAGAUGUAGGCAACAGAUAAAACGUUUGAUAUUUAUCUUCUUUUAGAUGAUUUUAUGCUCGCUACUCGUAUAAAGAUAUUUCAGAAAUUUCCUGGUUACAGGAAAAAAACAAAACAAAAAGACUUGGUGCUUUAAACCGUACACCGCAGCAGCCGGUGCAAGGUUAAAGUACCGCUGAGCUCUUCUCGCGCACCUGUUGCUGCCUCCUCACCUACUACUCCACUUUGUUUGAAUGAAACAAUUGAAGCUAAAAAAAAAGUUGGCCGUUUAUUACGGGUUUUUACCUACAAGUUAGCUGAGAACCUUUUAUCUUCGGCUUGUUUUUUUCACAUCACCUCAGCACCGCAUUUUUCGAUUAUUUCGUCAGUCUGACGAGAAUGUUAGUGAAUGAUCUUUUUGUGCGUAAACGUAUAGUAUUAACACCAAUGAUCACUCCAAAACCGUUGCUCCGCUUUUACUAUCGAGGCUGAUAGAGAGAUCUUCUGCCUAAAGACGAUAAUAUAUACCGUUUCCACGUCGUUCCUCGAAGGCUUUUUCUUUUCUGGUUUAAACGUGAUUGGAUACGAGUGAGUUGUUGAUGUGCGUUGUGUGUUACUCCUUGAGGGGGGGCCUGACGUCUUCGCUCCAAUUGACAAAUAUAUACGUACAGUAUAUAUUAUUUUCCGACACAAAUAAGAAUCUUUUCAAAGGAAGAUGUCAAAGAAAAUAGGAUGUUGGUGUUCUGCUUCCCAAACGGAGAGAAAUUUAUCUGUACACGCGUCCGUCACGAAUGCAAGACCGUGACCGUCCUACAUAACGCGAAAUAUGGUAGACAAUUAUCCGACUUUCCCUGGCGAUGAUGCAACAAUGCGAGAGAGUUAAAAGCUCUCACUACAGUACAUACCAUUUUUAACUGCCGCAAAACGUUGGAGGUUUGCGAAAGUGAAAGGAAACGCUUACAGAAAUUAUAAUUGAAUGAGAGACCCUGAGAGUGAAGCAUUUUGUCCCAACCAUUUCCUAUCAACGCCCUGGAAGAAUCCCUUCGUUUUGGAACCGUAUAUAUUAAGUUUGGACGUCCAGUUGCGAGGCUCUAUCGCGCAAUCGAAAGUGAAAGGUUCCAGUUUGACGUGGCUUGUGAGCUACCUGGUUGGUUGACCGUUCAACGAAAAAUAAUGGCGACCAUCCCAACGAUCGCCUUCUCGCACAAAGUAUCAAUUAAGGUCGACCUCUCUUUCGUUAACAAAUAAUCGGCUGGACGAUGAAAACACCUGAGGAAACCGAGAAAACCGAGCUAAAUGGAAAGCAUGCGGAUCUUGAGAGAAAGCAGCAAAGGUUUUGUGUGACCUGCUUCGCUUUCUUUCUGGUGUAUUUCAUUUCUUUCUUUUUUCCCCUCCGAGAUAUCGCGUGAAUACGUGACGAACUCUAUCAGAGAAGAAGAGGACGCACACACGCAAGGACACGACAAACACACACACACACACCGAGGGAGAAAAGAGAAAAAAACAAAAGAAUCACACGAAAGAGGCGAUGGGAACCAGGUGAGAAGCGCACGGCUGCGCACGUCGAAGUGGAGACGGGUACUGAAGAAGCCCGGCCCUUGUCCACCAGCAACAGGGUUCGAUAGGAGAAAAUGGAGGUGGGGAAAAGAGAGAGAGAGAGAACAAGAGGAGGGUAGUACUACUGGAACGAGAGAGGAAGUGUUUCCAAUUGGUCAGAAACAAUCUAACAUUCCGGUUGGCCGAAAGAAGAUCAACUGAUGAACUGUGUGGCAACGGGUUUAAAAAAAAACAAACAAAAAAGGGAAGCAAAACAAUACCCACCAAAUAAAGGAAAACAACAAUAACAACCGGAGAGAAACGAGCGACAGAUCGAGACUAUCCGAAUCGCAAACUGGCAGAGAGAAAGUUUGUCGACUUCGUCUUAUCUUUUAACCCAAUCGAAUUCUUCUUUCUUGUUGUCGUCGAGUGUCUAUUAUACACACAACAGAUGGCAGUCAACGGUCCAAGUUUUCUCUUUUUACCUGCUGCAAUAGACACAGGUGUGUGUUUCAUUCUCUACCUGUCGGAAAUUGGCAGAUACUCAAACCUCAGCUCAAUUCAAUUGUUACCUGCGAGGGAUAAUUCAUCAAUUUCUUCUUUAUUAAAAAAAGCAAAUUUCAUCCGAAGGUUGUGACGGAGUAAGCCUGGAGCCUUCAGAAUGCACCAUCGAUGAAGAGAUGCAUAAUAUUUUAAAGGAACUAUGAUUUCGCCGGAGUCGGUUGUUGUACCAGGCCAGCUCGUAUGCCGCGUAACUCUCCGACUGGAGAGUUUCCAUCCACUGUUCCGAAAAUGGAUUUAACUUUGAAUUGAAGCGGAUCAUGCCGUAAUUCUCCAGCGAUCUGAAGGAUGCCAAUUAACCUGUGAAAUUCGUCAACAUUUCCUUUGGGUGGUAAAUGGAUCUCGACGCCCAACUGGCGCACUCUGUCCAUCAUUCCCGAUUGAAGAAUUUGAGGUAGUGCAGCCCACUCGUCGCUUUCAAUGUCGAUUUUCAGGUAAUCGAUGAUCCUGUUGGAACCGUGGCGUUUCUCCAUCGCCUUGUAGAAAUCGGAGAGUGGCAGCAGACGCCAACCUUGUUGGCCUUUUAUCUUUCUCAAGACCUUCUCGCUACCCAAUCCGUAACGAUAGAAGUGAAUUCUGUCUCCACGGUCAUGGUCCGACUGUUCCAUAGAACUUUUUAAUAUGUUACAUUAAUUUAUUCAUUUUUUUUUAAACAUAGCAUUUUAAAAACAGCCUUACGGAUCGAAAGCGUAUACUUCGCAUCCAUAUUCGUCCAUGGUAUCCUCGAAGGACCAUUCGUUGUUGACGCCGAACGAAUAGACCAAACACUUGCCCUUGAUUGGACGCACCUCUGUAUCAAGGCAAACGGCUUUCUGUCCGUCGAUGCCGAAGAGAGCCAUGGCACCUCCGAAAUCAUUGGACAGACGACACGAUGAGGAAUUGCUCCACUUCUCUGACGGCAGAUGGGUCGCUAUUCUUUGCGAUGAACAAGAGGAAAACCAAUGCCAAUAGAAAUGAAAUUUGCAACAAUGACCUAACGAAUCUCCUAACUUUGUUGAAAGAAGCCAUGUCGAUCUUCACUGUUACGACGACUGGAUGCGUCUGUUUGAACGACGUUGAGGAAACUCAAAGUGAAAAAAAAAAGGGGGAAAUAUCCCCGAAAAACUCAUCAACCAUGUCGAAUUUUUGAAAUAUUGGACAUUCUUUUUUCCAAGAGCUGGAAAAGGAAUGAGAGACCAUAAAUCAGUCGGUCAAAUGUUCAACGGAAAUGUUACACGUACACGCCGGUGUGAAAAGAAAUUUCCAUUUCCUGCCGAAAUGACGUUCCGGCGAUUCACGAAGCCACUCGUCGUUGUUGUUUUUUUUUUUUUCUUUUUAAGAAGCUAGCGGAUGCAUUAAGGUUUCUCAUGAAUUGUGACUUGAUGAAUAUAUUGGACACAUAAUAACGUUAUGCAUACAAACCAAGCUUUCCCGUUGUUAGUGCGGGGUUGUCAGAACAGUUCAAAUUUCCCGCUCGAUUCGGCAGAAAUUCCAAUGAAUAAACGUGACCGACUGAAACAAUAA